AAAAAAAUUGACGGAGAGAAAGAAACAGAACAGAUAAUCGGGGGUCAACAUCAAGCUCCCGUACUGACGUUCAAACUGUCUUAUUUAGUUAAGAAAACUGUUUGCUUAGACCAGUGCUAUAAGUUGAAGAACUGAGACUGUCCUUGAGUCCGCAAUAGGCUAAAGUUCUCAAGAACGUCUUCACAGAGAGAAAUUAAUGUGGAGAUAGAAACAUUCUAUCCAAGCAGAGGUUGGUGGAGAAGAUUAUGCCCUAACUAUCAUAUGCCCCGUUUUCUGUCGGUUGUGGAGAGUAGGGUCAUAUGAUAGAAAGGUCACAAUCUUCCCAACCAUCCUCUACUUGGAGAGUAACAGAACGUAUAGUCGGGGUCAACAUCAUACUUUCUAAAUAGCGUUCAAAUUGUCUUAUCUAAGUUAAGUAAACUCUGUUUGCUUUACGACUAGUGCUAAAAUCGUUCCACCUCGUUACAAUUUGCUACAAAGGUAUGAGGUUGUCUAGAUCAAACAACAUACCCAAGUAUAACGUAGUCUCUAUAUAGGCGGUUCCAACUAUGAUGUAAAUUUACAUAGGAUAGCGGACUUUUCCACUCAAAAUACGUAGCAACACUCACAUCAUUUGUGCUGAAGAUAGAAAUAUUAAAUUCUUCAGUUCAUAUAAGGGAUUAUCUAUUUAAUUUUUUCCCGUAUUGCAUGACAAACUUACAAACUCAAAGAGUUGAGUUAUAACGUGCGAUUCUUGUAGUUUGAAAAAUAUUAAAAGAUUGGAGGCAUUGGUAGAGUUAUAGACGUAGAGACAUUACUGCCCCCUAGCGUCGAAACGCUGCAAGGCAGGCCUUAGCCCAUAGGAUUUGUUGCGUAUUUAUUUGUAUGGAAAGAUCCAUCGAAAGUGUAAGAAAACCUAAUAUUUGUAUGUAUUAUAUUGAAUCCUAUGAGUUAGUACGGAGUAUGACAAUAAACUUUGCUUUUUGUGUGUGAAA